rnacentral:lncRNA from 1 species
AGUGGAUUCACGACUUUCUUCCAGAUGGCGCCCCAGGACCGAGAUCAUUAGACUCUUACAGAUGAUGGCACAGUCACAUGCUGUCCCCGGGGACCCCUGCCUGCUCACAGGCCCCUGCGGACAAUCGUCACAGCCAGGCAAACGCAGCGAGACCCUCCUGGCUCCUGGACAUCUUGCUAACUGGAUUCUGGGCUGCAGCAGGGCUAUUUUCUGUCCCCUACACCCCGUGCAGUCUUUCCAUGCCCACGAGCCUUUAGACUAUGACUUUUGAGUAGGGAGGAAUUUCAUCUCAGUUAGUUUAGGAGUUUCCAACCUAAUCCUGCACCAGAAGUACCCAGGAAACUUUCAAAACUACAGAUUUAUGGGCCUUACCCUCCCUGUCCUACUGAAUGGGAAAUUUUACAAAGAUUCCCCCGUCACUUGGGAAAUGAGAGCCAGGACUAAGAACCAACGACAAGCCCAUGCUCUCAUUUUUCACAUGAGGUCAGAAACUUGCCCAAACUCAAAGGACAAUUUAUUUAACAAAUAUUUAGUUUGCAAUUACUUUGUUCCAGAAACAGUGAUUUCAUGGCAUAGAACCCAGGCCUUCAGUUUCCCCAUAAAAGCCACUUUCCUGCCACACAGCAACUGGCCUAGAAACCAUACAUUGUAUUCUUAGCGAAGUUGCUUUUCUUCAUAUCACUGCACUCCUAAUAAUUACUACUUUUUGCUAAAACGAAAGGCUACAGAAGCUCCUGGCUUUCCCGAUCACCCUGGUUCUUAUCGGGCUAAAGAGGCUGUCGGAUGCCCCUGGACCUCUGCGGAGAGAAUCAUCUCUCCAGGACCUGUGGCUUCCCCCUUGGUUUAAUUAAAGCUCACCCACAACAGUAACUGAGCUGAGCCAUGGCUGUGUCUGCGCGUUGAAGAAGAGCACUGUUCAGAAAAACACCUGCAAUGCUUCCCUGUGUGAGCCCUGGAACGGCGGGCUGGAAGGCUUCCCUGUUCCGAGUUUCCUCUGUUGAACGUUUAGCCAGCACAGUGUGGACGUGGCCUGAGACAGGCUCAGAGUCACGAGGAACCCUUAGCGAAUGCACACUUACAGCUGGAACCAUCAGUGUGCCGGGGAAGCAGCGGGCCAGUGGCAAGCCAACCAGAACCGAUGCCAACGGCAAUAACCCACAGAUGUUCCUGAAACAGUCCCCAGCUCAUGAAAUGCUCACGGAAGAUUCCUGUGUUCAAAGGGACCAAGGGGGAAACAAGAAGAAAAGGGUCAGCAUAGACUGUUUUCUGUUCCAUUGGAUUCUGGCCACUUCUGGGAGAUAGGAUGUAUGAAAAAUUCCUCUUCUUUGUUCUCUGAUGAAAGCUGUUGCAACUGCAGUGGAGGAAAAGCCUGUGCUGCAGACGCUCACAUAUAGAAUCUGUUAGAAAGCACCUGAUAAUCACGGCCAGAGAGGACAGGCCACCCACUAAGGUGGCGAGCUUUGUGCUUGGCUGCUCACAGAGAAUGCUGAUUGACUUGCUGAUAGCAGAAACUGCCUUGGUGUCGGAGACACAGAAUUGAUUUUUAAGACUAAAACCAGAAGAGGUGUGUGCUUCCACCAGUGUCAAGACAAAUGCUCAUUGAUUUCAUGAUAUGGAGCUAUGCCAAAAAAGAGGGUGUGAGCCCCAGCUGGAAGAAUGGGUCAUUUCCUUGGAAAAUGGAAUUUUAUAAACAAGCAUAAUUUAGCAGUCCACCGAAUUGGAAUCUAAAUGCUGCUCAUCCACAUGGAAGUACAGAGCUGCAGAUUCUGUAGGUCUUAUUAAAUUAGAGUAGUCCAACUCGG